UACCAGCACCCCGAGUGGUCGGGACGAUUACUGGGCGUAAAGCGUGCGCAGGCGGUUCGUUAAGUCAGAUGUGAAAGCCCCGGGCUCAACCUGGGAACUGCAUUUGAAACUGGCGGGCUUGAGUAUGGCAGAGGGGGGUGGAAUUCCGCGUGUAGCAGUGAAAUGCGUAGAGAUGCGGAGGAACACCGAUGGCGAAGGCAGCCCCCUGGGCCAAUACUGACGCUCAGGCACGAAAGCGUGGGGAGCAAACAGG
rnacentral:rRNA from 1 species